rnacentral:rRNA from 1 species
AUUGAACGCUGGCGGCAUGCCUUACACAUGCAAGUCGAACGGUAACAGGUCUUUCGGGAUGCUGACGAGUGGCGAACGGGUGAGUAAUACAUCGGAACGUGCCUAGUAGUGGGGGAUAACUACUCGAAAGAGUGGCUAAUACCGCAUGAGAUCUAUGGAUGAAAGCAGGGGACCUUUGGGCCUUGUGCUACUAGAGCGGCCGAUGGCAGAUUAGGUAGUUGGUGGGAUAAAGGCUUACCAAGCCUACGAUCUGUAGCUGGUCUGAGAGGACGAUCAGCCACACUGGGACUGAGACACGGCCCAGACUCCUACGGGAGGCAGCAGUGGGGAAUUUUGGACAAUGGGCGCAAGCCUGAUCCAGCAAUGCCGCGUGCAGGAUGAAGGCCUUCGGGUUGUAAACUGCUUUUGUACGGAACGAAAAGUCUUGGGUUAAUACCCUGGGAUCAUGACGGUACCGUAAGAAUAAGCACCGGCUAACUACGUGCCAGCAGCCGCAGUAAGAC